UGGGGAAUCUUGCGCAAUGGGCGAAAGCCUGACGCAGCGACGCCGUGUGCGGGAAGAAGGCCUUCGGGUUGUAAACCGCUUUCAGGAGGGACGAAGCCACUCGGGUUAAUAGCCCAGAGGGUGACGGUACUUCCAGAAGAAGCCCCGGCUAACUACGUGCCAGCAGCCGCGGUAAUACGUAGGGGGCUAGCGUUGUCCGGAUUUAUUGGGCGUAAAGAGCGUGUAGGCGGCCGGCUAGGUCUGGUGUGAAAACUCGAGGCUCAACCUCGAGAUGUCGCCGGAAACCAGUCGGCUAGAGUCCGGAAGAGGAGAGUGGAAUUCCUGGUGUAGCGGUGAAAUGCGCAGAUAUCAGGAAGAACACCUAUGGCGAAAGCAGCUCUCUGGGACGGUACUGACGCUGAGACGCGAAAGCGUGGGGAGCGAACAGG
rnacentral:rRNA from 1 species